rnacentral:rRNA from 1 species
UACGGGGGGGGCAAGCGUUGUUCGGAAUUACUGGGCGUAAAGCGCGUUCAGGCGGUUUGGCAAGUCGGGCAUGAAAUCUCUCGGCUCAACCGGGAGAGGUUGUCCGAUACUGCUGGACUUGAGGGCAGUAGAGGGUGGUGGAAUUCCGGGUGUAGUGGUGAAAUGCGUAGAUAUCCGGAGGAACACCAGUGGCGAAAGCGGCCACCUGGACUGCACCUGACGCUGACACGCGAAAGCUAGGGGAGCGAACGGG